CCUACGGGCGGCAGCAGUGGGGAAUAUUGGGCAAUGGGCGCAAGCCUGACCCAGCAACGCCGCGUGAAGGAAGAAGGCUUUCGGGUUGUAAACUUCUUUUCUCAGGGACGAAGCAAGUGACGGUACCUGAGGAAUAAGCCACGGCUAACUACGUGCCAGCAGCCGCGGGAAUACGUAGGUGGCAAGCGUUAUCCGGAUUUACUGGGUGGAAAGGGCGUGUAGGCGGGAAAGCAAGUCAGAUGUGAAAACCAUGGGCUCAACCUGUGGCCUGCAUUUGAAACUGUUUUUCUUGAGUACUGGAGAGGCAGACGGAAUUCCUAGUGUAGUGGUGAAAUGCGUAGAUAUUAGGAGGAACACCAGUGGCGAAGGCGGUCUGCUGGACAGCAACUGACGCUGAGGCGCGAAAGCGUGGGGAGCAAACAGGAUUAGAUACCCCUGUAGUC
rnacentral:rRNA from 1 species